rnacentral:lncRNA from 1 species
CGUCGCCGACAUCGUAACGGGGUUUUACAUACAUAAGAUUAUUGUAUGAACUGUAUAUGUACUUUUUAUCUGCUCACAGAACAAUCAAGUCAGGUAAUUAUUUUUCCAGCCUUUUCCCCACAGCUCAUUGGCUCCCCGGCCCCCACGUGAUCGUAUUUACCCAAAAAUACGGCGCGGAUCAAUGCGCAGGGGCUUUUUUUUCCUUGCCUUCUUUUCCCCCUCUCCCACCCCCUUCUCUCUGCUGCUCCCCGCGACCUGCGAUUUCCUGGGGGUCCGGAACUCUGGACCCAAGGCACCGGUCACCCCCUCAGGACGGCUCCUAGCUCAUCUGAGAAGCCCCUGUGCCCAUGUCCACCCAUAAGCAGAUGGCCUCCCCCCAACCAUGAGGAUUUUUUAAUGGGGUGAAAAUGCCAGUCCCCGAAGCCAGGGUUCUCGGACCCCCAGGGCCGAGCUGGGCGCGGGAGCCCCGCAGGGGCGGGGAGGCCGACCGAGCUUGAAGAAGUGUAGGAGAGAUCUACACAACUUAAGUGGGGCGUCCCCAUCCCAUCUUCCUGCGCACCCUCCUUUGCCCCCAACUCCAUCUCUGCGACACUUCCCCACCCCCACUCCCCCCAAAAAGUCGCUCCCGGGCUCUGUCUGCAGAGAGCCAGGGUGAGAGCGGGCAAGGCAAAAGAGCGACCUCGGUCGUGGGCAAGUAGCUUGUUUUUACGUCCCUCAAUAAAAUUUUUAUGAGGAUCAUUUGAUUGUUCAUAAAUGUAUCUUUCAUUAAAUAAAAUUGUAGGCUGUUUUUGGAACGGGAAAAAAGCAACGGAGGAACAGGAGAAAGCAAUUUCUUUGGGGUCGGAUGCAGGAAUUCCAGAGGGGGCAGUGUGAUUGCAGAGGAAUAUCAGACAACUUGGAUUCCUCCCCCCAAUAAGUUGGUUGCUACCCUCCUCCUUCAAUUGAGGGUUUGUGCCCAGCCCUCUGCUUUGCAUCAGACUGUCCCAUGGUGGUGUAGUAAAGGGGGGCUUUAGUCAAGUAGGAAAUUAUCAGGGUGGGUGAAGAAGAGGGGGCAUGGAGGUUGGCUGGGGGGUGGGGAGAAAGGGACAGGUGAAACCCCCAGAAAUAUGGUGCACUUAGGCAGGGUAGAGUGAAUUUAAAGGAGGGGUGCAAUUUCAGGGUCAGAAAGGAAGAGUCCCAGUCUGUGGCCAGGGAAAAUAGACAGGAGCUGAGGUUGAGAUGCAGGCUCUGGAGGCAGCAGGGUAGGAGUCUUCCCAGACCCGGCCACGCCUGCCCUUCUUUCCCUCUCCUGUCCCCAGGAGGGGACCAAACGCCAGGGGUAGGGGCGGGGGCUAGUUUUCUCCUGCGUCUCUAUGGAUCUUUCUCCUCUGGGGUGGAGAGGGGCUGGGGAGAGUGUGUAUAGUAUGUGUGUUCCGGGGGGAGGAAAGUUAGGGGGAGACAGCUGCAGCUGGCAGCACCGACCCCAGCUCCAUAGGCCCCCUCCCAAGUCUCUGCUCCUCCCCCUCUCUGGCUCUUUCCUUUUCCUUUUUGGUCUAAGGGGGCGGCUUAACGGGGCUGGGAUUUCAACUCAUGGGGGAGGAUGAGGGAUGUGUUUGGUUGGGGAGAGGCGACUUGGGGGUUCAGCUCCUUGGCGCCACUGUCUUCCCCUCCCUUGAGCUGGACUGAGCUGGGAAGCCCAACUUACAACAAGAAACAGAAUAUCUCUUUGGCCUUGAUGGAGUUGGGUUAGCUGUCAAUCAAAAAAUCUCCCUCACUAGUUCAAGGAAAAGACAGGAGGUUCCAGUCCCCCUGCCGAGGCUUUCUCCAAAUCCCCAGUACAGCCAGCACCUCCCCCAGCCCAGGGCGGCUGAGGACCGGGCCCGGCACUUGGGCGGCUGCUGGCAGCGAUGAGCAGAGACGUUUAGCCCUCAGCGGGGCCCGGGGCCAGACUGAGACCAAGAGGACAUCAGGGGACAGAGCCUGAGAGAGACUGAACCCGAGACAGCCUGGGACAGACCAACUGAAACAUGGAGUCAGGCCCAAGAGAGGAAAGAAGGAAGCGGAGCAUUAGAAUAAAGGGAAAAAAGGGGGAGAAUUAAAAGAAGGAAGGCAAGAUGAAAAGAGAUAGGAGAGCCGGGAAAGGCAGGCGUGCAGAGAGGGAGGCGGAGGAAGGGCGGCCGUAGGCAGGCAGGACGGGGCAGGGGCGAGCUGGCGGAGCAGCCGUGGCAUUGUGCAGCCCGCUGGCUUGCCGGGCCUUUGCCGCGGGACCGGCUCCGGGCGCGGCGGCCACUUCUGUCUGGACACAAAGGCGGAAGAGGGCUCCUCUCCUGCCCCUCCCAGGAGACUUGCUCGGAUGGGUACUCUAGGCCUCAGGGAUAUAGAACCCCAUAUUGGUCCAGACAGCCGCUUAGGCAGCUGGGGGCUGAGCCCUGCUCUAUUCAAGGAGCGAAGAAACAGAAGAGGAAAGAGGUUUCACCCCUGCUCUUCCUUUGCGUCUUCUCCAAGCGACAAGGCCAGCUGCCCCAGCCUCAGCUUUCCUGGAGGAAAGAGUCCCUAAGGAGCCUCCCCUAUGGGCCUCUGCUAUUUGGGAGAGUUCCUCAAAUAGACAUUGGGGCCGUAAAGAGAUGCCCCCUUCUCUCCUACCCCCUUUGAACACCGCCUUCUUUUCAACUCUUGAGCUGCCUGCGCACCCUGCCUGCCCACUCUGCGGAGGCGGCAGCAGCGGGCAGUGAGGCUCACCGGCGGGAUCCCUGCUGCCGUGAAAUCCCCUGUGAAACCAAGGAGAUUGUCGCUUUCCUUUAUUUUAUUUUAUUUUCUGGGACUAUGACCUCCGAACUCUUCCCACUCAGAGGCAGGCACGGCUGUGGAUCAGGAAGCAGGCCUCGCCCACAGCCCCUUCCCAGCCAAUGCCUCAUUUUCCCUGCGCCCUUCGGAGAGAGGCGGCCUUGGGGAGGGGGGCUAGAAGAGGCUGGGAGUUCCGGAGUCCACUGGGCGGAGGUUCCGCAGGUCCACAACUGCAUGUGGCCUGUAGCCCCCAUUCUCCACAUUUGGAGGGGUGUGGGUGGCAGACCAGGGCUUUGAAGCGGACCUGCAGAUUUCCCUCAAAUCCAGGUUUGUAGGUGCGGGGGGCGGGGCACAAAGGAUAUAGGGGCACCAAGAAGGAAGGUCUGUCUUCCUGGGGUUCAGUUACUCCUUCUGAAUCUUCUGCCAUACUCCAGACUUCCCCUCACCCACAUACUCCCUUCAAUUUUCCUCAGCACCGCUGGGGCAAACCCAGGGACUGGAGGCCACUGGGAGUUCUUGUUGGGGAGGGGGAAACCCCAGCUUUAGCUCGCAGCUGUGCAUUCACUCUGGUUCUUAGAGUUCCCUCCCACCCCCAAAAGACUUCACUGGGCACAGGAGAGACCCCUGAGGGGGAGGGGCACCCUUACUCCAUCACCUGAAACCUGGGCAGCUGCGGCCACAACCAAACUAGCACCGUGGGAAGGACAGACAGAAAGAUAGACAGGUUAGAGUCGUCCCCUCCCCCUGCCCCGCGCCUUCCUUUUAGUGAUUUAAAUUCCCUCCGGUUCAAUCCACACCGUCAAGUUCGGAUUAAAUUUAAAACAGGCUUUCUCCGGUGUCCCCAGCGGGCCAUCCCGGCUGCCGCAGGCAGGGAGCCCGCUCCCGGCUCGUCAGCACCCGCCCUGCGCGGAGAAGGCCGUACUCCAUUUGCUUUCAUUUUCCUUCUCCCCCUGAAAUGGGCUCAUUUCACCUCUCCACUGCCCUCUUCCCCUCCCCGCCCCCUCCCUGGUUCCCCUCUACUUUCCCCCCUUCUCUCUCCUGAUCCCUCUUUGUUGGGAAAAACACACCCACACACAACUCCUCCUAGCUAAGGCCUGCGCUGGAAGCAGAAACUGAGUUCUCUUGGCCUGCCGCGAGGAAACCCGCGUCCUGCCCCCACCCAAGGGCCUCAGGCAGAGAGACCCAGAAGACUCUGUCCCUCUGGUUUGGUCCAAUCCCGCUUCGGAAGCGCCUUCGUUACCUGGUCCUUCGCUCCCCACGGCCAUAGAUACAGGACAGGCGGCUCCCGCCUGGGGAGGGAAGCCCCGGCCACCACGGCCGCCGCCGCCCGCCCUCCUUCCCUCCCUCCCUCCUUCUCGCCCUCCCUCUCUCUCCCUCCCUCGCGCGCUGCCGCUCGCGGGGCCCUCCCGCGGGCAACCUGGUCUGGACCAAAUCCAGGUAUAUCCGAAAGAGAGAAAAAAGAAAGGACCUUUUACGCGGAAAAGAAAAGACAGAAAGACCUUCCAUUGCAUUUAUUUUUCAUGCUGUGACCAUUGGUCGGCCUCAGUUCAGACGUCCCGGACACGGCCCGGCAGCUGCAGAGGCGUGCAGGGCCUGCAGCCUCUCCCACGCUGACCGCCGCGCCCCGCGCGCCGCUUGCUCCACACUCUGGGCCGCCGCCCCCAGGGCAGCCCAAACACCCAGCAGACCUCAAGGUCCUUUCUAUAGACUCAACAUGCGGUUGCCCGCCUCGCCGCCGGCCACAGCCCGGGAGCCCGCUCUGCUCUGUCUGCGGCCAAAGUCCAUACACAAUCCACCUUGCCGGUGCUCUCGCACCCUGCCCGAACACCCCUUCUGGCCACGCAGCCGUCCGGGCCACACUCGUGCUGCGGUCCAGCCCAGGACUUCGAACCUCGCCCCCUGCACGACCCACACAAAGCCCUGAGCCCUGGCGUUCCCACCCGAAGCCCCCAGUCCCCGCUGCCGCCGUCUUCUUCACCUGUUCUCGGGAAGGGCUGCAUCUCCGAGCCGAAGUCAGGCCGUGGGCCGGGGCGAGGUCCCAGAGAGGCCACAGCGGAUCUGCCAGGCUGAGCCGGAGCCCCAGCAGCCGACGAGAGAUCUCAGAGACCAAGGCUCGCCUUGGCGAGCUCUUGCCUUUUCUUCCUCCCGCAAGUCUCAAACAUUCAUACACUGAGAGUUCAGCUCUAUAAAUCCUGCUCCUCUUUCCCAUAUCAUAAUUAAAAAAAAAACAGUAGGGGAGGUUUUAACUUUUAUUGCGAUUUCUGGAGUUGGGCUGCGGAGCAUAUAUUAAGUUUACGCUUAUGCGCUCUCGGCGGGGAGGGUCCUUUAAGAAAUAAAAAUCCAUCUUAAUAUCCACAGACGAGAGAGAUAAUUUUUUCUCUUCUCUUCACGCUGUUCCUUCUGAAGACUCCCUUCCGGCGAAGGGAAUAAAUAAUUACCAUCGCCUUAGCCAUGAUCCACGGCCUUGUGCCGGGGGUGGACUCUGACCACCAGACUGGUCCUCACCUUGGCCCUAUGAGACCUCGCUCCAUUUCUCUGCAUUUGGGGAGGAGACACCUCAACCCCUGGCUCUCUGACCUCCCACACAUAAGCCCAACAGCUCUGAAACGGAAAUGGGGGCACAGAGACCCAAAGCACAGAAGUCGUUCAUUAGUGAAUUUCGGCCCAUCAGGGACUCUAUCUCCAAGCCAAAUGCUCCUGAGCACCCAGUCCCUGCCUGGGACACGCUUUGCCCCAACUGACUGUGUGCCUGGGGCAGCCUGAAGACUCAAAGGCUGCUAGGAGCUCCCAAACUAGGGGAAUCCCUUGCCUGCUUCCCACCAGCUGGCCUGACUCUCUGGAAACUUCCCCAUUUCCCUGGGAGCCAUAGAGAGGUUUGAAUACUUCUCUCCAAGAGAAGAAAUUUUUUCUCUCACAAAGGGAUGGGGGACAGACAGACCAACAAUCCAGCUAGGGAGACAGGAAAUUCUAUUCCCAUUUUCUCCUCCAGCUUCCUUGGGAGUCAAAACAAAUAUGUUCGCAUAAGAGAGGGGAAAAAUAAAUGUGUAUGCGUAUAAAUACAUACAGGGUAUUUAAGAGAGCCUAGGGGAGACAGAAACAGAGCCCUACACUCAUACAAGGUCACAUAUAUCCCUCCCAGCAGAUGACUGUGAGAAUAUAGAACUCUGUAUAUAUUUUGUUACAGGGACAUAAUUUUGUUUCCCUGUCUAGACGUUUAUAAUGUUUUAAUAAUCAUAAUAAUUUCAAAGUAAGAGAACCAAGAACCUGACCUUCUUUUGGCUUCUCUUCCCCAGUAUCUCUGAGAACAGGGGUGUAUCUCCUCAGUCUCCAUAACCCCUCCCCCAUUUAUUCCCCCCCCCCCAACUCCGCCCGCAGGCAGGCAAAGAAACCUCUUUUGAGAACUUUCUCUGUAGCAACCAGGGCCAGAAUUGAAGAACCAAGGGGGAAAGGAUGAGAGGAAGCUUUGCAAAGUUUCACACUGCUCAGAUUUUCCUCUACCCCAUUCUCCUCCCCUCCUCCCCCUGGCAUCAGCCAACAACCUUUCCACCAACAUAGCAAUGGUGGGCACGGGCAGCCUCUGUUCACCCAGAUGUUUCCACAUAGUGCAAAGACAGGCAGCUGCCUGACAGUCACAGCCACAGAAACUGAGGCCUUCAGGCCACAGACGACUAAACAGAGACCAGAGUCAGGUUUUUGCCCUGAUGUUUCCCAGUUGCGUGCGUGUGCGUGUGUGAGGGGUUCUACUUGGACUUUGAUGGCUUUCCUCUAACCUACCAACACCCCAAACAUGUCCUUCCCCUGGAGAUGGAGCUAUAGAAGGGGAAGGGGAAAGGGCUGGGCUGGCGCUCAGAGUUCCCCAACUCUUGGAACCUCCAGGUACCCCACUUUUCUAAGGAGAAUCUUGAGCCCCAGUCGACUGGAGGUGGUAGGUGGGAGAGGCUAACCAUUCCAGAGACCGUCUUCUCUUUCUGUGCUCCUCUUUCUGCUAAUAAUUCUGCCCCACCCUGCUGCCCAACUGAGCUGGCCCGCCAGGCCACCUCUUACUCAAACUCCUGAAUUUCCUUGGAAUUGGCUGGACCCUCUUUGUCUGUCUCCAUCAGCUGGGCCCAGGAGACAAUAGCUGCAGGAAAGACUCCUCUCCCUUAAUCACAGGGAUUGGGAUAGGUUGAGAGGACGGCAUAAAGCAGGGUUCUCCAGACUUGUUCUGCAACCCCACUCACAGCUUGUCCUCCUUGGUCUGCACCCACUUUGCCCUAUCUGGGAGGGGGCAGUGGGGCAGUCCCACUGGGGAGGGUAGGAGUGGGAGAGGUGGGUUGGGGCCCUCGACGAAAA